rnacentral:misc_RNA from 1 species
GAUGAAGAACGCACCGAAAUGCGAUAAGUAAUGUGAAUUGCAGAAUUCAGUGAAUCAUCGAAUCUUUGAACGCACAUUGCGCCCCUUGGUAUUCCGAGGGGCAUGCCUGUUCGAGCGUCAUUAUAACCCCUCAAGCUCAGCUUGGUGUUGGGGCCUGCUGCACUGGCAGCCCUUAAAAUCAGUGGCGGCGCCAUCUGGCUCUAAGCGUAGUAAUUCUUCUCGCUAUGGAGUCCUGGUGGAUGCUUGCCAUCAACCCCCAAUUUUUCUAUGGUUGACCUCGGAUCAGGUAGGGAUACCCGCUGAACUUAAGCAUAUCAAUAAGCGGAGGA